UACGGGGGAUGCAAGCGUUAUCCGGAUUUAUUGGGUUUAAAGGGUGCGUAGGCUGUGAGGUAAGUCAGCGGUGAAACGCCCCCGCUCAACGGGGUGAAGUGCCAUUGAUACUGCCUUGCUGGAAUGCGGAUGCCGUGGGAGGAAUGUGUGGUGUAGCGGUGAAAUGCAUAGAUAUCACACAGAACACCGAUUGCGAAGGCAUCUCACGAAUCCGCUAUUGACGCUGAUGCACGAAAGCGUGGGUAUCAAACAGG
rnacentral:rRNA from 1 species